CCAGGAUGUACGGCGAUGGCACCCGUUUCAACUCCGCCCCUCUGAGCGUCUAGAGCGGUUCCCCCAUGCGGAGGAGGUCCUGGCUGUUCCGAAAUCUCGCCUGCCUGCGGGGAGCAAGCAUGGCCUGGGCAGCAGAUCUCAACCUGUGAUUGUGACAUCAUCGCCCCUACCUGAAAUGCCGGCUUCUUGGGCGGAAGUUUGAUUUUUCACAAAUCUGCAAGGGGCAAGGAGCCUCUCACAGCCUGCUCAUUGUUACGUAGUUAGGUUUACCCUCCCGCAGCUCAGCUCAGCGCACAUCUUUUCUUUCCUUAUCCCGUCCUUUCCCUCAUCCCUGCCUACCCCGCUUCUGACAUGCAUAGUGCAGCUUCUCCGUAAAGGUGGAGCUAAUGACCCGUGGGCCUAGCAGUUGUUAGGCCUUUUGGGAGCUCACGAUGGGAGCUCCCUGGUAAGUGAAACCGUCAAUUCACUGCCUAAAAUGACAAUACCCCAUCUCUGGUAUCUUUGCACUUGCCUCUUCAAAGCCACCUUUUCCUUUUUCUGUGUAUGGACUGUCACAAAUCCUCUGCACCCCAAGAACACCCCAUUGGAUUUCCGGGCUGGCUGCUUGGGCUACACACCUGGGUCAGGCCUCUCGCAGGGAUGCUCCUGCCACUGUAAUAAAGAGGAGAAAACGUCACAGGGGAAAGGCCUGACUCCUUCGUACAGUCAGGAAACUCAGCCUCACAGAGAAGGGACCCCUCUCUUAUUUUCGGAGUCCAAAAUAAGCCAUUUUGGGAGCCACAUCCACCACUUUUGUGACUCCCACACAGUUUUAAUGGCUGCUCUCAAA
rnacentral:lncRNA from 1 species